GAGGCAAUGGUACUUUCUCUGCUUGCUUCCGUUAUGAGAACUUGAAUCAUGAAAAGCAAAGUGUGUAACAAAGGGUCGCAAUAGAUAUUGCAAACAUGCCUUUUUGAUCCAUUUAUAAACCCAUUCAAGCAUAGUUGGAUGCUUCAGGUAAAUUAUUUUUGAUAGGAAAGAAAGGUUAAUGGGGCUUGAGAAAACUGUGUCCGAAGUCAGUUAUGCAUAUAGAA
rnacentral:lncRNA from 1 species